rnacentral:rRNA from 1 species
UAGGGAAUCUUCCACAAUGGACGAAAGUCUGAUGGAGCAACGCCGCGUGAGUGAAGAAGGGUUUCGGCUCGUAAAACUCUGUUGUUAAAGAAGAACAUAUCUGAGAGUAACUGUUCAGGUGUUGACGGUAUUUAACCAGAAAGCCACGGCUAACUACGUGCCGG